GGGGGCGGGGGUGGGGCUAGCCCGCUGGGUUCUCUCCUCACUCCUGGCGCGACUGUGGUGCGCGGGCUGGUGACGUCAUUUUGCCUCAGCCUUGAGCCGAAGCUGCAGACCCUUCGCAGCUACAAGCGCGAGGUUCAGAAGAGGCCCAGCCUGUGCUCUUAGGAUUUGCAUCCUGCUUUUGGGAGCUUUAGCUCUGGCCAGAGGCUGACUUUGCCUCAGAGAUGGACACUGGCACCGACCAUCUACUCCAGUACGUUUGGGCUACACAUGACAGUCAGGAGAGCUUUGUGUCCAUAAUUCUGCCCCAAGGAGUGGAGCCUACCAGGUAUUCUCACAUCACCUAGGAAUAAAUGGUCCAAAGAAUGCCAUCAA